rnacentral:rRNA from 1 species
GACGAACGCUGGCGGCGUGCUUAACACAUGCAAGUCGAACGGAAAGGCCCUGCUUUUGUGGUGUGCUCGAGUGGCGAACGGGUGAGUAACACGUGAGUAACCUGCCCUUGACUUUGGGAUAACUUCAGGAAACGGGGGCUAAUACCGGAUAGGAGCUCCUGCUGCAUGGUGGGGGUUGGAAAGUUUCGGCGGUUGGGGAUGGACUCGCGGCUUAUCAGCUUGUUGGUGGGGUAGUGGCUUACCAAGGCUUUGACGGGUAGCCCGCCUGAGAGGGUGACCGGCCACAUUGGGACUGAGAUACGGCCCAGACUCCUACGGGAGGCAGCAGUGGGGAAUAUUGCACAAGGGGCGGAAGCCUGAUGCAGCAACGCCGCGUGCGGGAUGACGGCCUUCGGGUUGUAAACCGCUUUCGCCUGUGACGAAGCGUGAGUGACGGUAAUGGGUAAAGAAGCACCGGCUAACUACGUG